CCUACGGGCGACUGCAGUGGGGAAUAUUGGGCAAUGGGCGCAAGCCUGACCCAGCAACGCCGCGUGAAGGAAGAAGGCUUUCGGGUUGUAAACUUCUUUUGUCAAGGGACAAAAUCAGGCUCGAGAGCCUGACCGAGGGUACUUGAAGAAACAGCAUCGGCUAACUCCGUGCCAGCCGCCGCGGUAAUACGGAGGAUGCGAGCGUUAUCCGGAUUUAUUGGGUUUAAAGGUUGCGUAGGCGGACUGUUAAGUCAGCGGUAAAAGCCCGGGGCUCAACCCCGGCGAGCCGUUGAAACUGGCUGUCUUGAGAUGUCGAGAGGUAUGCGGAAUGCGCGGUGUAGCGGUGAAAUGCUUAGAUAUUGCGCAGAACUCCGAUUGCGAAGGCAGCAUACCGGCGGCGAUCUGACGCUGAGGCACGAAAGCGUGGGUAUCGAACAGGAGUAGAUACCCGGGUAGUC
rnacentral:rRNA from 1 species